CUAACGUCCGUCGUGAAGAGGGAAACAACCCAGACCGCCAGCUAAGGUCCCAAAGUCAUGGUUAAGUGGGAAACGAUGUGGGAAGGCCCAGACAGCCAGGAUGUUGGCUUAGAAGCAGCCAUCAUUUAAAGAAAGCGUAAUAGCUCACUGGUCGAGUCGGCCUGCGCGGAAGAUGUAACGGGGCUAAACCAUGCACCGAAGCUGCGGCAGCGACGCUUAUGCGUUGUUGGGUAGGGGAGCGUUCUGUAAGCCUGUGAAGGUGUGCUGUGAGGUAUGCUGGAGGUAUCAGAAGUGCGAAUGCUGACAUAAGUAACGAUAAAGCGGGUGAAAAGCCCGCUCGCCGGAAGACCAAGGGUUCCUGUCCAACGUUAAUCGGGGCAGGGUGAGUCGACCCCUAAGGCGAGGCCGAAAGGCGUAGUCGAUGGGAAACAGGUUAAUAUUCCUGUACUUGGUGUUACUGCGAAGGGGGGACGGAGAAGGCUAUGUUGGCCGGGCGACGGUUGUCCCGGUUUAAGCGUGUAGGCUGGUUUUCCAGGCAAAUCCGGAAAAUCAAGGCCGAGGCGUGAUGACGAGGCACUACGGUGCUGAAGCAACAAAUGCCCUGCUUCCAGGAAAAGCCUCUAAGCAUCAGGUAACAUCAAAUCGUACCCCAAACCGACACAGGUGGUCAGGUAGAGAAUACCAAGGCGCUUGAGAGAACUCGGGUGAAGGAACUAGGCAAAAUGGUGCCGUAACUUCGGGAGAAGGCACGCUGAUACGUAGGUGAAGCGACUUGCUCGUGGAGCUGAAAUCAGUCGAAGAUACCAGCUGGCUGCAACUGUUUAUUAAAAACACAGCACUGUGCAAACACGAAAGUGGACGUAUACGGUGUGACGCCUGCCCGGUGCCGGAAGGUUAAUUGAUGGGGUUAGCGCAAGCGAAGCUCUUGAUCGAAGCCCCGGUAAACGGCGGCCGUAACUAUAACGGUCCUAAGGUAGCGAAAUUCCUUGUCGGGUAAGUUCCGACCUGCACGAAUGGCGUAAUGAUGGCCAGGCUGUCUCCACCCGAGACUCAGUGAAAUUGAACUCGCUGUGAAGAUGCAGUGUACCCGCGGCAAGACGGAAAGACCCCGUGAACCUUUACUAUAGCUUGACACUGAACAUUGAGCCUUGAUGUGUAGGAUAGGUGGGAGGCUUUGAAGUGUGGACGCCAGUCUGCAUGGAGCCGACCUUGAAAUACCACCCUUUAAUGUUUGAUGUUCUAACGUGGACCCGUGAUCCGGGUUGCGGACAGUGUCUGGUGGGUAGUUUGACUGGGGCGGUCUCCUCCUAAAGAGUAACGGAGGAGCACGAAGGUUGGCUAAUCCUGGUCGGACAUCAGGAGGUUAGUGCAAUGGCAUAAGCCAGCUUGACUGCGAGCGUGACGGCGCGAGCAGGUGCGAAAGCAGGUCAUAGUGAUCCGGUGGUUCUGAAUGGAAGGGCCAUCGCUCAACGGAUAAAAGGUACUCCGGGGAUAACAGGCUGAUACCGCCCAAGAGUUCAUAUCGACGGCGGUGUUUGGCACCUCGAUGUCGGCUCAUCACAUCCUGGGGCUGAAGUAGGUCCCAAGGGUAUGGCUGUUCGCCAUUUAAAGUGGUACGCGAGCUGGGUUUAGAACGUCGUGAGACAGUUCGGUCCCUAUCUGCCGUGGGCGCUGGAGAACUGAGGGGGGCUGCUCCUAGUACGAGAGGACCGGAGUGGACGCAUCACUGGUGUUCGGGUUGUCAUGCCAAUGGCACUGCCCGGUAGCUAAAUGCGGAAGAGAUAAGUGCUGAAAGCAUCUAAGCACGAAACUUGCCCCGAGAUGAGUUCUCCCUGACCCUUUAAGGGUCCUGAAGGAACGUUGAAGACGACGACGUUGAUAGGCCGGGUGUGUAAGCGCAGCGAUGCGUUGAGCUAACCGGUACUAAUGAACCGUGAGGCUUAACCUU
rnacentral:rRNA from 3 species